rnacentral:misc_RNA from 1 species
UCUGAAUUAGUUCAUACUUACACAUGCAUGGCUUAAUCUUUGAGACAAGCAUAUGACUACUGGCAGGAUCAACCAGGUAGCAUUCCUCUUUGCUGCCGGCACCGCAUGAACAAAAGGACAAAUACAAUCCUAGAGUCAGAACGGGGCACGUCAGGCUUCCGUAAGGGAAAAUUGAUUCGGGCAAAAAAGGGACAAAGGACCCCCCGACCGAUCAUGCAUCUACAUACAAGAUUUCGAGCGACACUUGGGCGUCCGAUGCUUGCAAGCUAAAUAAGCAAAGCAAGGGCGGACGUCCAUUAGGAGCUUCAGGGUCUACGUCGCACAAAACAUUUCGCACGAGAUAGAGUAGGGGCCAUGGGACUAGAGAAUUCCAUCAAAAUAGGGUAUGCUGCACAGGAGGCCAAGCCAAUCCAAGGCAAAAUAUUUAGCACUUGGACAUAAUUGAACAGGUUUGAACCAGCGGUUGUCGCUGCCGAGGCAGGGAACCAACCAACCGGAACAUACCAA